ACCAGCGGCGAUAGCACGUUGACUGCACCAGUUCCCAACUGAUCACUGAAGUUAAGCAACAUUGCACGUGGUUAGUACCUGGAUGGUGACCAUUUGGGGAAUCCGCGUGCUGUUGGGU
rfam:Asian citrus Psyllid, Diaphorina citri - Florida Strain, whole genome shotgun sequence.